rnacentral:tRNA from 1 species
GUCUGACUGGCUCAGUUGGUAAAGAAUGAGACUCCUGACCUUGGGGUCAUGAGUUUGAGCCUUAUGUUGGACA